CUUCCAAUCAUUUUAAGUACUUUCACAGGGAAAAUAAACAGUUGAGCCCAUUAUGCUUGAAUUCCAAAGAUGACAGAUUGUACCAGUUGUAGCAUCCCAGAGUAUGAUAGUGUUCUACCAGUCCAAGAAGUGAUCCUGGCUGUGAUUUUUCCGCUAAAGGUUGCCACUGUAGUAGAGUGAUUUUUUUUGGUGCUCAGUGGUACUCCCAGAUACUUGAAAGGCAGUUGGCCUUGUUCAUAGCCAAAGCAAUUCUGCUAAAAGACCUCAUACCCCAGCAAGACAUUGGUAGUUUUGGGAAUUUAACCCACAGUCUAUUUCAGUCGGAAAUUCUUCUGAAUAAUCAAACUCUGGUGUCCAUUGUUUGAGAAUCAUCGGCCUAUUGGCUAUUGAGUAAGGGCCAGUAUUCUUGAAAUCCAAAGAUGACAGAUUGCACCAGUUGUAGCCUCCCAGAGAUGACAGUGUUCUAGCAGUCCAAGAAGUGAUCCUGGCUGUGAUUUUUUCCACUAAAGGUUGCCACUGUAGUAGAGUGAUUUUUUUUGGUGCUCAGUGGUACUCCCAGAUACUUGAAAGGCAGUUGGCCUUGUUCAUAGCCAAGAUGGUCGAGGAUCUGCUUCUGUACAGGUAUUGGUACUCCUCCAAAAUAGACUAAGCUCUUAUUCAAGUUGGCCUUGAGACUUGAGGCUGUAGAGAAUUGGGAGAAGCAGUUGGAUAAUGCCUUGUUAGAUUGGAGGUCUCCCUUGGUAAACAGCAACAAGUCAUUUGCAAAGCACAUAUGUGUAAUGCCCAGUUUUUUACAUCUGGGGUGGAAUUGAUAUGCUGGAUCAGCUUGUAGUACAGUGCAUGACCUGCUUAAAUACUCCAUGACCAAGGCAAAUAGGAAUGGGUAAAUGGGGUCCCCUUGCCU
rnacentral:lncRNA from 1 species